GCAUUAAAAUAUAGCCACAACAUCAGUAAUAAAAUUAAUACAUAAAAGUUCAUACACAUCUCUAUAUUCCACUGAAUAGGUGAAAUAAAGUUCUCAUAGACUGUAGCAUUUUGUAACAUAAAAGUCAAAAUAACUUUUGGUACAUUUAUAUUCAGUCACGGACUUGAGAACCCUCUCUCCCUGGUCUUAGUUGUGGAAUACUAAAGGUUGUGCGUUGCUGCAGGAGGUCACCAAGGAGGUGAAGAGAGAGAUGAGGCUGGAACGAGGCUGGGUCACAAACUAGCAGGAGAAAGAGAAAAUGAAACGAGAGAGACAACAGAACAGACUGUGUCUCAAAAGGCCAGAAGAAAGAGAGGCAUUCCCCAACCAAGACAGAUUCACAAGACAAUCCGGAGAGCAUGGAAAACAUCCUGAUAUCAGUAUCAGAUCCUGACAACACCCAAGAAACUGAGGGCUCAGGGCUGGUUGACUCUGUCUCCUUCACCUUGGCAACCUGUGGCAGUCUGAUUGGACAAGCUGGCUCCCUUCAGUCCAUCACCCAGCAACUGUCUGAAAUGUACAACAGCCAAGAUUGAAGUUCAAGAAGUGGAGACAACUGCAGAUGUGAUGGUCAAGACUGAAGUCAAGGAAGUAGUUGAGAUUACCAAGAGCGACACCCAAGAGGCAAAGGUAGAGGCUAGUUUUGAGACAGAGAUCAAGCUGACUGAGGGGUUGAACAUUGACACUAAAAUGGAAGAAGAAGCCAAUGCUGAGAUCAAUGCAGAUAAACAAGACAAUACUAUGUCUGAGAAUAACACCAGGAGCUAUGAGCUUAUUCUAACAGCUGGAGAGUCCAAAAUAGAAGUCAGAGAUUAAAAAAUAGAAUCCAAGAUAGAAUUUAGGGAUAAGAAUAUUGAUGCAAAUAAUGAAACUAUGGAUGCAAAGGAUUCUGUUGAGAAUGCAUAUGCUGAGAAGAGUGAACACAGCCAUGGCAGUCAUGGAAGCCCUGAGCUAUCUCAGUCAUCAUCAGACAAUGAUGAAGGUGGUCCUUCGAUGUUCCCCAUAAUCAGCAUGUUGAAGAGCGCUGCCCUGUCCUCAGACCAGGUUAAUGAGAUCAUAGACAAGGUGAUCGACGUCCUGACUGGGGAGGGCCACGAGGUCAUCUUUUCCGAGGACAGGCCAAGUGUCACCUCCAGCCCAGAGUACCAGCCAAAGAACCUGCAUAGGCCACAGUGUUCAGAGGAGAUUCACUGCUGAGUCUCAUUCCAAGCUCUUGCCAUGAAGCAAACUGAAAUGGGUGGAGCUGAUUAGUAUGCUGUGUAUAUUGAUGACCAAAUCCAUUAGCUCCCUGUCUCUGGAUAGAGCUUUUCAGGUUCCAGUUGAUGCAGUCUCAGAUACAAAGGAAAGGAAAGCUUCUGCUGUGAAGUUUAGUACGAAUACCAGAACACUGGUGCCAAUCCCCUCCUCGCCCCACCCUCACUAAGCCUGUCCAAGACGACAGCAGGAGGAAAAUCCGACCUCUCCAGACUGCCAAGAGGAAAGUAUCCCAAGGGUUAGAGGCAGACCUGUAGCCAGAAGGUCACUGGUUGAAAUCCCAGGCAGGGCAAUGAAAAUGGUGGUCAACUCCAUGGUCUUGGACAUUUCCAGGACCACUAGUAGAAGCAGUGGGAUGGUGGCUCAGCUGGGUUGUCCAGUCAAGAGCAACAACAGUCUGUUCAGCGAGCUUCCAAGCCCCUCUGCAGCCACCUCAAACACAUCCCUGGGCGCCUCUGAGAUCAUUGCGAAUCUGGAUUCUCCAGACUUCAUGUCAUCCAGUAGCAACACCAGCCCAAGCCCCCCAAAGGAACAGUAGUGACAACAGUCAACUAAUGGAACUGCAGAAACUGCGUUUUCUAAAUAUCUAGGC
rnacentral:lncRNA from 1 species